AUUGAACGCUGGCGGCAUGCUUUACACAUGCAAGUCGAACGGUAACAGGUUAAGCUGACGAGUGGCGAACGGGUGAGUAAUGCAUCGGAACGUGCCCGGUCGUGGGGGAUAACGCAGCGAAAGUUGCGCUAAUACCGCAUACGAUCUGAGGAUGAAAGCGGGGGACCGUAAGGCCUCGCGCGAUCGGAGCGGCCGAUGUCAGAUUAGGUAGUUGGUGGGGUAAAGGCUCACCAAGCCAACGAUCUGUAGCUGGUCUGAGAGGACGACCAGCCACACUGGGACCGAGACACGGCCCAGACUCCUACGGGAGGCAGCAGUGGGGAAUUUUGGACAAUGGGCGAAAGCCUGAUCCAGCGAUGCCGCGUGCAGGAAGAAGGCCUUCGGGUUGUAAACUGCUUUUGUACGGAGCGAAAAGGUCUCCUCUAAUACAGGGGGCUCAUGACGGUACCGUAAGAAUAAGCACCGGCUAACUACGUGCCAGCAGCCGCGGUAA
rnacentral:rRNA from 1 species